UGCCAGCAGCCGCGGUAAUACGGAGGGGACUAGCGUUGUUCGGAAUUACUGGGCGUAAAGCGCACGUAGGCGGAUUGAUCAGUCAGGGGUGAAAUCCCGGGGCUCAACCCCGGAACUGCCUCCAAAACUAUCAGUCUAGAGUUCGAGAGAGGUGAGUGGAACUCCGAGUGUAGAGGUGAAAUUCGUAGAUAUUCGGAAGAACACCAGUGGCGAAGGCGGCUAACUGGCUCGGUACUGACGCUGAGAUGCGAAAGCGUGGGGAGCAAACAGGAUUAGAUA
rnacentral:rRNA from 1 species